UACGAAGGGGGCUAGCGUUGUUCGGAAUCACUGGGCGUAAAGCGCACGUAGGCGGAUGUGUCAGUCAGGGGUGAAAUCCCGGAGCUCAACUUCGGAACUGCCUCUGAUACAGCACACCUUGAGUCCGGAAGAGGUGGGUGGAAUUCCUAGUGUAGAGGUGAAAUUCGUAGAUAUUAGGAAGAACACCGGUGGCGAAGGCGGCCCACUGGUCCGGUACUGACGCUGAGGUGCGAAAGCGUGGGGAGCAAACAGG
rnacentral:rRNA from 1 species